rnacentral:lncRNA from 1 species
GGCAGCUACUCGGGAGGCUGAGGCAGGAGAAUGGCAUGAACCCGGGAGGCGGAGAUUGAAGUGAGCCCAGAUCGCGCCACUGCACUCUAGCCUGGGCAACAGAGCAAGACUCCGUCUCAAAAAAUAAAUAAAUAAAUAAAAUAAAUACAAAUACAGUAUUUUCUAUUUUUCAUAUUAACUGGCACGUCUUUCAUGCAGCAAAUCCAGUUCAGACUGGGCGCAAUUCAUGUGCUCAGCCGCCGCAUGUGGUGAGUGACAGAGACCGUCCUGCAUGUGUGUGCACUUUUUACUGCCUUUUCCUUGACCACAGAUUCUACCUCCUGUUUCUCUGUGUAUGCAGUGAUUAUUUGCUGAGUAUUACACAUUGUAGGUAACAUGUUGAGCACACUCAGGAUCCCUAACCUUCCUCUGAAGCUUUCCAGCUCUUGUUUUAGCAAGUAGCACAGGCACUGCUGGGUCAUCGUGACAGGGGCAGACUUGGAUUGAUUCGCUGCUGGUGUGGAUCUGUGGAGAACUCCCAUCCUGCACCCACUCCGAUCUCCCCCUCCUGGACGUGGUAGGAUGGCCAUGCUCCGGCCACACCUGAGCUCUCUCUGAUCUCCCCCUCCCGGACGUGGUAGGGUGAUAUGCUCUGCCCACACCUGAGCUCUCUCCAAUCUCCGCCUCCUGGACGUGGUAGGGUGGCCAUGCUCAGCUCACACCUGAGCUCUCUCCGAGCUCCGCCUUCUGGACUCAGUAGAGUGGCCAUGCUCCGCCCACACCUGAGCUCUCGGUGCCACGAUCUGCAGGUGUACUCCAGAGGACAAGUGUACUGUGGAAACUAUGCUCCAGGUCAGCAGCCAGUCAUUUCAUAGAAGAUAAACUUCAAGAACAUUCUCUGAAGGGCAGUGAAACUGAGUAAGAUCUAACCACUGUUACCAGCAACCAAGAAACAUAGGUAAGAAAAUGCAACUAAGAUUUGGAUCAAGUAACUACGGUAAUAAACAUGCAGACUAUCGCUAAGCA